rnacentral:rRNA from 1 species
GCUCAACCGGGGAGGGUCAUUGGAAACUGGGGAACUUGAGUGCAGAAGAGGAGAGUGGAAUUCCACGUGUAGCGGUGAAAUGCGUAGAGAUGUGGAGGAACACCAGUGGCGAAGGCGACUCUCUGGUCUGUAACUGACGCUGAGGCGCGAAAGCGUGGGGAGCGAACAGGAUUAGAUACCCUGGUAGUCCACGCCGUAAACGAUGAGUGCUAAGUGUUAGAGGGUUUCCGCCCUUUAGUGCUGCAGCAAACGCAUUAAGCACUCCGCCUGGGGAGUACGGUCGCAAGACUGAAACUCAAAGGAAUUGACGGGGGCCCGCACAAGCGGUGGAGCAUGUGGUUUAAUUCGAAGCAACGCGAAGAACCUUACCAGGUCUUGACAUCCUCUGACAACCCUAGAGAUAGGGCUUCCCCUUCGGGGGCAGAGUGACAGGUGGUGCAUGGUUGUCGUCAGCUCGUGUCGUGAGAUGUUGGGUUAAGUCCCGCAACGAGCGCAACCCUUGAUCUUAGUUGCCAGCAUUCAGUUGGGCACUCUAAGGUGACUGCCGGUGACAAACCGGAGGAAGGUGGGGAUGACGUCAAAUCAUCAUGCCCCUUAUGACCUGGGCUACACACGUGCUACAAUGGACAGAACAAAG